CCGUAGACCCGGAAGGCGCGGGCCUUAGUGGCGGACGGGUGAGUAACGCGUGGGGAACCUGCCCCGUACCGGGGGAUAACACCUGGAAACAGGUGCUAAUACCGCAUAACAGAAGGGGACGCAUGUUUCUUUCUUGAAAACUCCGGUGGUACGGGAUGGACCCGCGUCUGAUUAGCUGGUUGGCGGGGUAACGGCCCACCAAGGCGACGAUCAGUAGCCGGCCUGAGAGGGCGGACGGCCACAUUGGGACUGAGACACGGCCCAAACUCCUACGGAAGGCAGCAG
rnacentral:rRNA from 1 species